UGGGGAAUUUUCCGCAAUGGGCGGAAGCCUGACGGAGCAAUGCCGCGUGGAGGUGGAAGGCCUACGGGUCGUCAACUUCUUUUCUCGGAGAAGAAACAAUGACGGUAUCUGAGGAAUAAGCAUCGGCUAACUCUGCGCCAG
rnacentral:rRNA from 1 species